AGCACUAUUGGUUUAGUGGUAGAAUAUUACACUGCCACAAUAGUGAGCAAGGUUCGAAUCCUUUGUUGUGCAUAACAGAGCUGUGAUGAUAUUUGUGCUAUGUGUGAUAGAUGGGUCUGUCCUAGUGUCUUCUUCAGACAAAUUGAGCACAUCUGAGCUC